CCUACGGGAGGCAGCAGUGGGGAAUAUUGCGCAAUGGGCGAAAGCCUGACGCAGCGACGCCGCGUGAGGGAUGAAGGUCUUCGGAUCGUAAACCUCUGUCAGCAGGGAAGAACGGUCACUGUGCUAAUCAGCAGUGAAUUGACGGUACCUGCAAAGGAAGCACCGGCUAACUCCGUGCCAGCAGCCGCGGUAAUACGGAGGGUGUGAGCGUUAAUCGGAAUUACUGGGCGUAAAGCGCUCGUAGGCGGUAUGUCAAGUCAAGGGUGAAAUCCCCGCGCUCAACGUGGGAACUGCCUUGGAAACUGGCAAACUGGAGUGUGUGAGAGGAUAGUGGAAUUCCAGGUGUAGGAGUGAAAGCCGUAGAUAUCUGGAGGAACAUCAGUGGCGAAGGCGACUAUCUGGCACAUAACUGACGCUGAGGAGCGAAAGCGUGGGUAGCAAACAGGAUUAGAUACCCUUGUAGUC
rnacentral:rRNA from 1 species